rnacentral:rRNA from 1 species
UACGAAGGGGGCUAGCGUUGCUCGGAAUCACUGGGCGUAAAGCGCACGUAGGCGGCUUCUUAAGUCAGGGGUGAAAUCCUGGAGCUCAACUCCAGAACUGCCUUUGAUAUUGAGGAGCUUGAGUCCGGGAGAGGUGAGUGGAACUGCGAGUGUAGAGGUGAAAUUCGUAGAUAUUCGCAAGAACACCAGUGGCGAAGGCGGCUCACUGGCCCGGUACUGACGCUGAGGUGCGAAAGCGUGGGGAGCAAACAGG